GAGAACUACGAGCGAAAAGCUUAAAACUCAAAGGACUUGGCGGUGUCCCAUAUCAACCUAGAGGAGCCUGUCCUAUAACCCGAUACUACACGUUCUACCCAACCACCUGUCGCACCAACACAGCCUAUAUACCGCCGUCGUCAGUCCACCUUAUGAAAGCUACCACCGUGGACAAAAAAGUCACCCCCACUAAUACGUCAGGUCGAGGUGUAGCUAAUCAGGCGGUAGCGAUGAGCUACAUUUUCCUAAAACGACUAUACGGAAAACAGCAUGAAAUACCUGUUAAAAGGUGGAUUUAGUAGUAAACCAAGCCAGUCCGCUUGCUUUAACCUUGCUCUGGGACGCGCACACACCGCCCGUCACCCUCUUCAACCUGCACCUACUCAAUUCAUCAUAAACCACGCAUACUAAAGAAGAGAUAAGUCGUA
rnacentral:rRNA from 1 species